GAGCUCCCUUUGGCAGCACAUAUACUAAAAUUGGGACAACACAGAGAUUAGCAUGGCCCUUGUGCAAGAAUGACACACAAACUCAUGAAGCAUUCACUAUCUAU